CCGCUUUCUAGUAAUGAGGGCCUUCAGUGCUACUGAAUGAAUGUCUAAAAAAUGUAAACACGAAAAAUAUUGAUUUUCGUCGCGAAAAGCGAACUUGGUACAAACCUUUAUACACUAAUUUGUGGUCAACUGACGGAGGUGCGGUGGGAAUGUACCCCUAAAAUAAUCCUAAUACAAAGAUCAGAACAAAUUAAUAUGGUGUAUUCUAAAUUUCACAUUCCCUUUCACCCUUUGAACAACUUUCUAUUGUCACAAUUACGUCAACUUGGUCUCACACCGUUAAAGCCUCACAUAUUUUAUUGCUUGUAGGUGUACUGUGGCAUUAAUUUACAGCACUUAAAAAUACAACUCAUUGUCUUUAAUCGAGUAGUACGAUAUAUUUUUGGACUCAAAUUAAGUGGCCAUGUGUCUGAUCGCUAGAGAAUUUCUCCACUGCUCUUUUAAACAUUUUUUGAUAAUAAAACAUAUAUUGUCAUUGUACCAUUUAAAGACAACCCAAGAACCUUGAGAAGUUACCGAUUUGUUUAAUUUUUUGCGAUCUGCCAACUUUGCGAAGUCAUCAAUCUGUGAAGCAUGAUCUUCCAGAUGGCAAUACCAGAUUUCUGUCAAUCCAACUAUGACGAUGGCAGCAGUGUCCCGCACUCGACCUUAAGUGUCGUCUUUCAGGUUCCCUAUCGUCGCCUCGAUUAUAUCACGAUAGUAUAACCUGUUCCUAUCCUAUAUCCAUUCUCGCAAGACAACCUCGUGACCAGCAGAUUUCAGUCUUCUCUGGGUUAACAUUGAACCCCCUAGAUCCAGCCCAGUCGUAUGCAAUCUCCAGGACCCUUUCGGUACUUCUACAUAGCUGUUUCGAAUCCUUACCCCUUAGAAAUAUUAUAACAUCGUGCGUAGCAGACGGAUUCAAAUCCCUCCUCAGUCAGGAUCCGUAAUAGGUUAUUUAUGGUGGGGUCCCAUAGAUGUGGCUAUAAAAUGGAUAUCUUAAGAUCGAAUUCUUUAUUUUAAAAUUUAGAUACACUUAUAAAAAGAUUUGAAUCGAUUAUUUUUUAUUUAGACUCGUAAACUCGUAUUCAAUUACAAAAAUAAAUCAACUAAUUUUUUAGUUGAAUACAUUUUAUUUAACAUUAAAAAAAUUUUUGCAAUUUUUUUGUGUAUCCGUCGUGUAAAAAAAAACCUGAGAUUCAAAUUUAUUUAAUCAAAUGUCGGGUGCGGCAGCUGAUUGUACGUUCCGGAUUGAGCCGAUGCAGUACUUCUUUGGCAAGGGUUCCCGCCUCAGUGUACAAAACACAGCUACAACAACAACAACAACUGACCCACCAGUGAAAACGAAACUCAUAACUGCCCCGAAUAUUUUUAUCUUUAAAAAUUCGCCACUAUAAUGAUAUGUUUUAAACAGUCCGCAAUCUCACCUAGCCUUUACAAAGGAUCGUUCAAAUACAGUGUGAGAUAAACCUUCGGUGCGAAUUUCGUGUUGAAUUAAAAUUGGACAUUAAAGAAUAAGCUAAGGCAUCUUUUAAAACGUGUUGAAUGGACACCCAAAGUACUGAUUAGAAAAGUAUGUAGUUUUACAUGCAACGACAACCGAGGAUAUGUCGCAGCAUUUCGUGAAAGCUCUGAAGGGUUUUGUUUGAACGCUGCCUUGAUUUGGACAGACGCAUGGAGGGAGGUGGUGGUUAUUACAAUUCGUUGCAAUAACUUGGUAUAUUUUUUUCUUUCAUUCGUUAUUGUUAUCUCUUUUAAUUAAUAUUUACCACGUUCCUAAUUAAAAUGUAUUCACGAAAUCCAGUUACAAAGAGCAUGUUUGAUGUAUAAAAAGAGUACUAUUUUGGAAAACUGUAAUCAUUUUACAAUGUUGCUAAACCAUGACUUCAUUUGGGUGACCAAAUCCUUGAUAAAAAGUAUUGUAAUUGUGGUUGCCGUUUAUGGUGCCCACACUGACCGCAGGUUAUUCGCCGUAGAUGGAUGAUAUUGGCAUAGCUCCAAUCGCUUCCCAAUUUGAAGAACACACAUAGAUUUAUGGGGAUGAAGACAAUAUUUUGACCUUUCAAAUCGAUUUUUAUUUUUCCAAAUAUGUAAUAAAUUCAUAAUUAAAAAAAAAAGUCCUCUGGAUUCAAAUUUAGAUAA